rnacentral:rRNA from 1 species
GUGUCAGCAGCCGCGGUAAGACGAGGGGUCCUAGCGUUGUUCGGAAUUAUUGGGCGUAAAGCGGGUGUAGGUGGCUCUGUAAGUCAGGAGUGAAAUCCCCGAGCUUAACUCGGGAAGUGCUUUUGAAACUGCAGAGCUUGAAUGUGGGAGAGGAUCGUGGAAUUCCAGGUGUAGUGGUGAAAUACGUAGAUAUCUGGAGGAACACCGGUGGCGAAGGCGGCGAUCUGGCCCAACAUUGACACUGAGACCCGAAAGCGUGGGGAUCAAACAGGAUUAGAUACCCUGGUAGUCCACGCCGUAAACGAUGAACACUUGGUGUUGGAGGUAUUGACCCCUUCAGUGCCGAAGCUAACGCGUUAAGUGUUCCGCCUGGGGAGUACGGCCGCAAGGUUAAA